AAUCUCAUCCGCCCACGCACCGCACCCAUCCUCCGAAACGUGCAAGGGUUCUGCCAACCCUUCGCAUCGUCUCCUCCCUACUCCCUCCUCUCCCACGUCGCUGCCCUCGAGCCCGCGCCCUCCACCUCAUCUCCGCUCCGCUCCCUCUUCUCCAACACCGCCGCCGUUGAUGCGCCGUCAGUGACGCCGUCAACACUUCGUGGAUACGUAGUGAUGGAGCUCAGCCCGAGCCCAGCAGAAGCCCACUCCUAACCUUAUUUGCUCGAUUGACAAGACUAGGGCGACGGAUUGGAUCUAGGGCGCCCGCAUGGCCUCGCAGCCACUGCCGGCUGGAUUCGCUAGCCGCCGCCUCGAGUCACAUCCGUCGCCAUCGCGAGUCAGCUCCACCGUUGUGGUCAGGAAUCCCGUCCAGGCAAGGAAUUUGAUUGACGGAGGCAUCACUAUCUGGCGCUGGAUUAUACAUUACGUUCUGCACUCGCUCGGCAGAUGAGAGGAAACAGUGACGACAAGGCAGUUGUUAUGCAGAUAAUGAUGUUUUUGGUUGGAAUCAACACCCUUCUAUAGAGUUUCUUUGGAACCCGAUUGCCUGUGGUGAUUGGUGGAUCAUACACCUUUGUUCUACCUGCCAUUUCGAUCAUACUUGCGGGACGCUACAUCAACGAACCAGAUCUACACACUAUAUGUUGAAAAGAAGGCAGGGCUGGCUCUGGGAUUUCAAAGGCCCCAGGGGGGACUCCACCAAUGGGCCCAAUAGAGAGAAAAACCCGAUUUGAUGCAUGAAUGAAUAUAGUUAUUAUGAAGUCACAAAGACUAAUAUUUUUUCAUUAGAACAAAAUAUCUGAUAAUAUUUCUUGCAUUUGUUCCAAACCAAGUAUCAUAGAAGCUACAAUGCAUAAAAACAAAGAGAAAUAGCAUGCUAACAAACCAGACCUCGAAGCCCUCCAGUAAUUAUGAUUCAGCAACAUGAUUACAAUAAGAGAAAAAUUCACUACAGGUCCAUAUUAUUAUUUUGCUCCACGGUUUAUACGGUGAUAACUCUGUUAGUAUGGGCGGCAUUAUUGCUAAACGGUUAAGUCUGAACCGUACCAAGGGCCCCAUCUUUGGAGGCAUCUAUGCUUCACG